UUUUUGCAUCUAUGAAUGUCCCGAGCGCUCUCUUUUCCCUUUCCUCUCCCUCGUGCUUUCCUUUCUUCGCUGCCGCCACUCCAUCCUAGCCGCCUCCUCUCCUCGCGCCGCCGUCGCCGCCGCUUCCACCCUCCCUCUGGGCCGCCUCGUCUCCUCCGCCUCCGCCUCCACCACCUCCUCCUCCCCUUCCUCUCCCCCUCCCGUGCCUCCGCACCUGACUAGAACGGCCAGACCACGUGACGUGGACGAGGAGACAGACAGCUCGGGAGGCAGGCUCCUUCCAUGGCGGCACCCCAACCUGCCGGAUUUCCCUCCUCGUCAGCCCAGCGGAGAGGAGCGGUGGAUCCGCCUCCUCUUGGACCUAGCGCCCGAUCCGAGGUGUGCGGGCGCGGACGAGCUUCCCCCGCCGGCCCGCGGCAGCGGCGACCUACAAGCAAAGGGCAAGGGCGAGGCGACGGCAGAGAGAGAGAAGAUGAGAGGGAGAAGAAUGAAGGAGAGGAGGGAGAAAGAGAGAGAGGAAAGAGGAGAAGGAGGCGCGGCGUCGGAUGGGAGAGGGUCACCGCCGGUCGAGGCCUGCGCGUGGCGGUUCGAUGUGAUCCUCGCCCCUUCUCUUCCUCGUCCCGCCGGCCUCAUUCUCUGUUACUCUCCCGUUGGCCGUGGCGCCAGGUCGCGGCGGAGGAUCUGGAGCUGAGCCCAAGCAGUUGAGGUUGAGGAAGACGGAGGUGAGGGAAGCAGCAACAAGACUGCUGGCUGGUGACGGGUCAGCGGCCACGAGAGGAGGGGGAAGGGGGACGACGUCAUGCUUUCUCGCCACCUGCACGUCCUCUUCCCACAGUCCGCUGCUCCUUGUCUGCGCCGUUUCAACUCCAGCUGCAACAGUGCGUCUCCAUGAUCCUUCCCCUCCUCCGGCUUCUCUCCUUCCAUAGCUACUUAUGCUGCAAUAGUUUCAGUGCAAGUAUAGUCAGGACAGGGAGGCAGAAGAGAGGACAUGCUGAAGAAUGAAGGUGGACAAACCAGGUGCACAUGAACAGCAAGGCAUGUUUGGCGUCGUACUUGACCGUGCUGCAGAACAACAUCUUGUGGUUCUACCCAAGGGUUGACGCCGAGCACCGGGGCGUACUGCAGGAGUAGCGCCCUGCGUCCUUUGUCAACGUCCAUAGCAUCAAGGACCUCCUCACGCCCCUGUGCAGAUGGCGCUCGCUCGUGAUCACAGGAAACUGAACGACGCAUAUGUGCCCGUUGUCUGUCAGCGCCGACAAGGUUGGUUCUAUGUUAAGGCCCUGCGUCCUCACGUAAGAGGGCAUGAUUCAUAAGCAAACAAAUACUUCAGGCACGAUGGAUAUUGAUGUAGACUACAUCAAAGUGCUGCAGGACCAAAUUGAGAAAAAUUGUGGUGGUGAUGAUUGAUCUGUAUUUUUUUGAAGGGGGUCAUUGGACUCCACUGUAGCAUAGAUGGUGCCCAGUUUAGGACAUGAUCCAACUCUCAGUUACAUACAUGGACCUUCUCUUUCUACAUCUCUAUGGUAGUAAACUUUCUUACUUUAGAGACGGAUCAGAAGGCAUUUCUUUUGCUUUUGGUGUUGAGGAUGCACCAAACUAUGCACAAAAUGAAGUGCCGAUGUUCUGUUUUCCUGCGGUUGUCGCCACUGUACUUUGUUCCUUGCAUGAACAAAAGAGGAUUAAUGAAACAACGUUCGCGCUGAAGAAGAAAAAGGAUAUGUUGCCCUUUAUAUUAUACUUGGGCGAUGGAUUCCUUCAGAUCUACAAAUUCCUCGAGCAAAGUUUGCAAUGCUUUUGUGAAUGUUUCAAAUUUUGUUUUUGUCUUUCCUUGUGGAUUGUCCAUCUGAACUAUAUGUAUCAAUGUAAACAACCUUACCUUU